UCCCUGGUGGCUCAGUUGGUAAAGAAUCUGCCUGCAAUGUGGGAGACCUGGGUUCAAUUCCUGGCUUGGGAA
rnacentral:tRNA from 1 species